GAAUAAGGACCGGCCAACUCCGUGCCAGCAGCCGCGGUAAUACGGAGGGUCCAAGCGUUAUCCGGAUUCACUGGGUUUAAAGGGUGCGCAGGCGGCUAAGUAAGUCAGUGGUGAAAGCCUUCGGCUCAACCGGAGAAUUGCCAUUGAAACUACUUGGCUUGAGUGCAGCAGAGGUAGGCGGAAUGUAGCAUGUAGCGGUGAAAUGCAUAGAUAUGCUACAGAACACCGAUAGCGAAAGCAGCUUACCACACUGUAACUGACGCUGAGGCACGAAAGCAUGGGUAGCAAACAGGAUUAGAUACCCUGGUAGUCCAUGCCGUAAACUUUGAACACUCGGAGUUUGCCACCUAGUGGUAAGCUCCCUAGCGAAAGCGUUAAGUGUUCCACCUGGGGAGUACGGCCGCAAGGCUAAAACUCAAAGGAAUUGACGGGGGCCCGCACAAGCGGAGGAGCAUGUGGUUUAAUUCGAUGAUACGCGAGGAACCUUACCCGGGCUAUAAUGCCUGUGACAGCUCUGGAAACAGAGUUUUCCUUCGGGACACAGUGCAAGGUGCUGCAUGGCUGUCGUCAGCUCGUGCCGUGAGGUGUUGGGUUAAGUCCCUUAACGAGCGCAACCCCUAUCUUUAGUUGCCAGCACUUUCAGGUGGGCACUCUAAAGAAACUGCCUACGUAAGUAGAGAGGAAGGAGGGGAUGACGUCAAGUCAUCAUGGCCCUUAUGCCCGGGGCUACACACAUGCUACAAUGGUGGGUACAAAGGGAAGCCACUUGGCAACAAGGAGCUAAUCCCAAAAGCCCAUCACAGUUCGGAUUGGAGUCUGCAACUCGACUCCAUGAAGCUGGAUUCGCUAGUAAUCGUGGAUCAGCAACGUCACGGUGAAUACGUUCCCGGGCCUUGUACACACCGCCCGUCAAGCCAUGGAAGUCGGGAGUACCUGAAGCCAGUAACCGUAAAGGAGCUGGUGAGGGUAAGCCUGGCAACUGGGGCUAAGUCGUAACAAGGUAGCCGUACCGGAAGGUGCGGCUGGAACACCUCCUUUUUAGAG
rnacentral:rRNA from 1 species